rnacentral:rRNA from 1 species
GACGAACGCUGGCGGCGUGCUUAACACAUGCAAGUCGAACGGAAAGGCCCUGCUUUUGUGGGGUGCUCGAGUGGCGAACGGGUGAGUAACACGUGAGUAACCUGCCCUUGACUUUGGGAUAACUUCAGGAAACUGGGGCUAAUACCGGAUAUGAGCUCCUGCUGCAUGGUGGGGGUUGGAAAGUUUCGGCGGUUGGGGCUGGACUCGCGGCUUAUCAGCUUGUUGGUGGGGUAGUGGCUUACCAAGGCUUUGACGGGUAGCCGGCCUGAGAGGGUGACCGGCCACAUUGGGACUGCGAUACGGCGCAGAAUCCUACGGGAGGCAGCAGUGGGGAAUAUUGCACAAUGGGCGGAAGCCUGAUGCAGCAACGCCGCGUGCGGGAUGACGGCCUUCGGGUUGUAAACCGCUUUCGCCUGUGACGAAGCGUGAGUGACGGUAAUGGGUAAAGAAGCACCGGCUAACUACGUG